CCAAUAGCGUAUAUUAAAGUUGUUGCAGUUAAAAAGCUCGUAGUUGAAUUUCGGGGUUAGUAGGCUGGUCGUGCCACCGGUACGUACUGGUCUUACUGAUGCCUCCUUCCUGAUGAACUGUAAUGCCAUUAAUUUGGUGUUGCAGGGAAUCUGGACUGUUACUUUGAAAAAAUUAGAGUGUUUAAAGCAGGCUAACGCUUGAAUACAUUAGCAUGGAAUAAUGAAAUAGGACGUUCGAUCCUAUUUUGUUGGUUUCUAGGAUUGACGUAAUGAUUAAUAGGGAUAGUUGGGGGCAUUAGUAUUCAAUUGUCAGAGGUGAAAUUCUUGGAUUUAUUGAAGACUAACUACUGCGAAAGCAUUUGCCAAGGAUGUUUUCAUUAAUCAAGAACGAAAGUUAGGGGAUCGAAGACGAUCAGAUACCGUCGUAGUCUUAACCAUAAACUAUGCCGACUAGGGAUCGGAUGAUGUUAAUUUUUUAAUGACUCAUUCGGCGCCUUACG
rnacentral:rRNA from 1 species